CCUACGGGAGGCACCAGUAGGGAAUCUUCGGCAAUGGACGAAAGUCUGACCGAGCAACGCCGCGUGAGUGAAGAAGGUUUUCGGAUCGUAAAACUCUGUUGGUAGAGAAGAACGUUGGUGAGAGUGGAAAGCUCAUCAAGUGCCGGUAACUACCCAGAAAGGGACGGCUAACUACGUGCCAGCAGCCGUGGUAAUACGUAGGUCCCGAGCGUUGUCCGGAUUCAUUGGGCGUAAAGCGAGCGCAGGUGGUUUAUUAAGUCUGGUGUAAAAGGCAGUGGCUCAACCACUGUAUGCAUUGGAAACUGGUAGACUUGAGUGCAGGAGAGGAGAGUGGAAUUCCAUGUGUAGCGGUGAAAUGCGUAGAUAUAUGGAGGAACACCGGUGGCGAAAGCGGGUCUCUGGCCUGUAACUGACACUGAGGCUCGAAAGCGUGGGGAGCAAACAGGAUUAGAUACCCUCGUAGUC
rnacentral:rRNA from 1 species